CCUACUUAACUCAGCGGUUUAGAGUAUC
rnacentral:tRNA from 1 species